rnacentral:lncRNA from 10 species
UUUACAGAGAACUGGAGAUGACGGGGCUCAAGAGAAAGGCCUAUGAUUUCAAAGGGUCUAUGAAAAUAUCAGCCUGUGAAAUGAAAGGUCCUACCUGCCUCUGUGGAAUAGUAUUCAAUGAUUCUUUAGACAGGAGUCAUGACAUUUUGCAGCUCCUUGAGAUAUGUUGGAUGGGAUCCAAAUGAAUACUUGCCUUACAUAGACCCUUCCCCAGCCUCAGCAAAGAGUUCUUCAGUCUGGAGGAACUAGGGACACCAUAUCCAGCUUGACUUCAUGUCCCCUUUCUCAUCUGAAAAACUCCAAGGUGGAACUGACAAAUGGACUGGUUAGUUUCAGGGGAAGGCAAGUACAUGUAGACAAACAAAUGUUCGUGUUCACAGGUAAGCUCAAUCCUGUAUGCCACUGCUCUCACAACUUCUAACUGUGGGAGUGAAUCCUACUUUUAGAACUUCCCUUGGAGUCUGUCAUGAAGGAUUAUAGUAGGAGCCAGGAGUGGGGCCACUGGACUUUUCCAUUGUGUAUACUGAUGACUUUAAGAUACUUUAUUCUCUACCUCUUGUGUCUGCUGCCAGGAAAUACAAAGGGUGAGAGUUACAACCUCUAGGUUACGAGCCUUAGUCUAAUUAGUAUACCACAGUGAACUGGGAUCUCUGACAUUCCACGGGUCUCCUUUUAGUCUCUAUUCUUAGCAAUCACACACUUCCUUGCAAAUCCUUCCUUUCUGACACUACAUUUGCUUCUUACUCGUGUUUCUUUCUGCCCAGGUGCCAGCACCGUUCCUCUUGCUUCCACAGCUACAUUGCCGAGCAACGACUUGGAAGCCGGCUCUUCCCACUACCUCAACUCUGCCCAGCCUCACUCUCCUCCAAGAGGCACCAUAGAACUGGGAAGAAUCCUGGAGCCUGGGUACCUGGGCAGCAGUGGCCAGUGGGACAUGAUGAGGCCUCAGAAAGGGAGUGUAUCUGGGGACCUAUCCUCAGGCUCCUCUGUGUACCAGCUUAACUCCAAACCCACAGGGGCUGACCUGCUGGAAGAGCAUCUUGGUGAAAUCCGGAACCUGCGCCAGCGCCUGGAGGAGUCCAUCUGCAUCAAUGACCGCCUACGGGAGCAACUGGAACACCGACUGAGCUCUGCUGCUCGUGGAAGUGGAUCCACCUCUAACUUCUGCAGUCAGGGCCUGGAGUCCAUACCUCAGCUCUGCAAUGAGAACAGAGUCCUCAGGGAAGAAAAUCGAAGACUUCAGGCUCAACUGAGUCAUGUUUCCAGAGAGCACUCCCAGGAAACAGAAAGCCUGAAGGAGGCUCUGCUGUCCUCUCGAUCCCACCUUCAAGAGCUGGAAAAGGAGCUGGAGCACCAGAAGGUGGAAAGGCAGCAGCUUUUGGAAGACUUAAGGGAGAAGCAGCAAGAGGUCUUGCAUUUCAGGGAGGAACGUCUUUCCCUCCAGGAAAACGACUCCAGACUGCAGCACAAGCUGGUCCUCCUGCAGCAACAGUGUGAAGAGAAACAGCAGCUCUUUGAGUCCCUCCAGUCAGAGCUACAAAUCUACGAAGCACUUUAUGGCAAUUCCAAGAAGGGGCUGAAAGCUUGCAGCCUGGAUGCCUGUCACCAAAUCCCUUUGAGCAGUGACCUGAGCCACCUGGUGGCAGAGGUACGAGCUCUAAGAGGGCAGCUGGAGCAGAGCAUUCAGGGGAACAAUUGUCUGCGACUGCAGCUGCAACAGCAGCUGGAUAGCGGUGCUGGCAAAGACAGCCUCAGCCCCUCCUCUGUUAACCAGAACUUCCCAGCCAGCGUUGACCCUGGAAACAAGCAGCUGCUCCUCCAAGAUUCAGCUUGUGUCCCCUCCAGUCCGGGAUGUUGCGAUGAGUUCCCCAGCUCUGGUCCUCCCCAGCUCUGCUUCCUCUACUCCUGGCUCAGAAACGGCCAUAAUCCACAGAACAAAUGGCUUGGGUGUGGAUACUUCUCCAAUAAUGAAGACCCCUCCCAAGCUGGAGGGUGAUGCUACUGAUGGCUCCUUUGCCAAUAAGCAUGGCCGCCAUGUCAUUGGCCACAUAGAUGACUACAGUGCCCUGAGACAGCAGAUUGCGGAGGGCAAGCUGCUGGUCAAAAAGAUUGUGUCUCUUGUGAGGUCAGCGUGCAACUUUCCUGGCCUUGAAGCCCAAGGCACAGAGGUAAUCACACCUGUAGCUUUAGAUGCACUGUUUCCUUGUGCCCUUUCUUCCUUUGAUGUUAACUCCGUCUCCCACCAUUUUUGUUUUUGUUUUUGUUUUCCAUGCUUUGCAUCUCUCAACAGCUGAGGCUUCCUCUUCCAUGUAUAGCAGCCAGGCCCUGUCUUCUCUGUCUCCUGUUUUCACUGUCAGUUCUGCUCUGUUCCAGAUGUUGCUGACUGGAUAUUUCCCCUCAGCCCCACAGAAACAUGUGGCAUUGCCUAGCAGCUUUUGGGAGCUUUUUUUUUUUUCCUCUUUUCUUGUUUUUAUUAUUAUACCUUAAGUUCUAGGGUACAUAUGCACAAUGUGCAGGUUUGUUACCUAUGUAUACAUGUGCCAUGUUGGUGUGCUGCACCCAUUAACUCGUCAUUUACAUUAGGUAUAUCUCCUAAUGUUAUCCCUCUCCUCUGCCCCCUCCCAACAAUAGGACCUGGUGUGUGAUGUUCCCCUUCCUGUGUCCAAGUGAUCUCAUUGUCAAGUUCCCACCUAUGAGUGAGAACAUGCAGUGUUUGGUUUUCUGUUCUUGCGAUAGUUUGCUGAGAAUGAUGGUUUCCAGCUGCAUCCAUGUCUCUACAAAGGACACAAACACAUCCUUUUUUAUGGCUGCAUAGUAUUCCAUGGUGUAUAUGUGCCACAUUUUCUUAAUCCAGUCUGUCACUGAUGGACAUUUGGGUUGAUUCCAAGUCUUUGCUAUUGUGAAUAGUGCUGCAAUAAACAUACGUGUGCAUGUGUCUUUAUAGCAGCAUGAUUUAUAAUCCUUUGGGUAUAUCCCCAGUAAUGGGAUGGCUGGGUCAAAUGGUAUUUCUAGUUCUAGAUCCUUGAGGAAUCGCCAUACUGUUUUCCACAAUGGUUGAACUAGUUUACAGUCCCACCAACAGUGUAAAAGUGUUCCUAUUUCUCCACAUCCUCUCCAGCACUUGUUGUUUCCUGACUUUUUAAUGAUUGCCAUUCUAACUGCUGUGAGAUGGUAUCUCAUUGUGGUUUUGAUUUGCAUUUCUCUGAUGGCCAGUGAUGAUGAGCAUUUUUUCACGUAUCUGUUGGCUGUAUGAAUGUCUUCUUUUGAGAAGUGUCUGUUCAUAUCCUUUGCCCACUAUUUGAUGGGGUUGUUUGUUUGUUUCUUGUAAAUUUGAGUUCUUUAUAGGUUCUGGAUAUUAGCCCUUUGUCAGAUAAGUAGAUUGCAAAGAUUUUCUCCCAUUCUGUAGGUUGCCUGUUCACUCUGAUGGUGGUUUCCUUUGCUGUGCAGAAGCUCUUUAGUUUAAUUAGAUCCCAUUUGUCAAUUUUGGCUUUUGUUGCCGUUGCUUUAUGCAGGCACAUGACCAUCUGUGGGCAGAGUUGACACAAUGGGGUGGACAGAAACUGAAGGAUUUGCAGGUGUAUGGCCCCCACAUGUGGAAGGGGCGAGAAGCCUGGCAGCCAUGGCAUUUCCUUGUGCAGACUGCAUAGGGGGAGGGAAGGCAGUCAGCAAAGCUUCUCAGAGCGCCUUGCCAGUGAGAGAGACCAGGCACCAGGGGCUGUGCUGUCUGAGCUGCUGGAGACCCA